UUACACUCCUUUUAAUACAGUGGCCCACAAGUGCAAUGCACAAAACAAAAUCCCAGUACACAAAACAAAAUUCCACUACACAAACAAAAUUCACGAUACACAAAACUCAAUUCCACAACGCAAAACUCAAUUUCACUACACAAAACAAAAUUCCACUACACGAAACAAAAUUCCACUACACAAAACUCGAUUCCACUACACAAAACUCAAUUCACGAUACACAAAACAAAAUUCCACUACACAAAACUCAAUUCACGACACACAAAACUCAAUUCCAC